rnacentral:rRNA from 1 species
UACGUAGGGGGCAAGCGUUGUCCGGAUUUAUUGGGCGUAAAGAGCGUGUAGGCGGCCAGACAGGUCCGUUGUGAAAACUCGAGGCUCAACCUCGAGAUGUCGAUGGAAACCGUCUGGCUAGAGUCCGGAAGAGGAGUGUGGAAUUCCUGGUGUAGCGGUGAAAUGCGCAGAUAUCAGGAAGAACACCUAUGGCGAAGGCAGCACUCUGGGGACGGUACUGACGCUGAGACGCGAAAGCGUGGGGGAGCGAACAGG